GAUGAACGCUAGCGGCAGGCCUAACACAUGCAAGUCGAGGGAGAAGCCCUUCGGGGCGGAAACCGGCGCACGGGUGCGUAACGCGUAUGCAACCUACCUUUCACAGGGGGAUAGCCCGAAGAAAUUUGGAUUAAUACCCCAUAAUAUUAUUGGGUGGCAUCAUUUGAUAAUUAAAAUUACGAUGGUGAAAGAUGGGCAUGCGUCCUAUUAGCUAGUUGGAGUGGUAACGGCACCCCAAGGCUACGAUAGGUAGGGGUCCUGAGAGGGAGAUCCCCCACACUGGUACUGAGACAGGGACCAGACUCCUACGGGAGGCAGCAGUGAGGAAUAUUGGUCAAUGGUCGGAAGACUGAACCAGCCAUGCCGCGUGCAGGAAGAAUGCCUUAUGGGUUGUAAACUGCUUUUAUAUGGGAAGAAUAAGGUGUACGUGUACA
rnacentral:rRNA from 1 species